rnacentral:rRNA from 1 species
UGCGUAGGGUGCGAGCGUUGUCCGGAAUUAUUGGGCGUAAAGAGCUCGUAGGCGGUUUGUUGCGUCGGCCGUGAAAACCUGCAGCUUAACUGUGGGCCUGCGGCCGAUACGGGCAGACUUGAGUUCGGUAGGGUAGACUGGAAUUCCUGGUGUAGCGGUGAAAUGCGCAGAUAUCAGGAGGAACACCGGUGGCGAAGGCGGGUCUCUGGGCCGAUACUGACGCUGAGGAGCGAAAGCGUGGGGAGCGAACAGG